CGUAAGAAACAAACGUGGCCCUCGCGUGAUAGCGAAAAUUUCCGUGAAUUCCAGCGAAAACGUCACUAUCGUGUGAAAAAUACCUACGUCGUUUCUCCCGUUCCCUCGUUGCUCGCCGAAAUUCUUCUCUUACCUUCAUUCGUUAUCCGACAAAUGCUUUUGCGUUCCUUGCGUUUAAUUUUCGUGUCGAUAUCAUUGUAUCCGUUGUUGUUUUCAUUACGUUGCCGAUCGGUCGCGCAGACCGUCGCCAAUCACUAUCGUCGCGACGAUUGCCAUGGUAUCUUCCGUAUUAUCACGUACCAACGAGACUCCUCGGACGUUUAACGAGUAUAGAGAAUAGAAAUCGAAAUGUUUUAAAAGAGAAAAAUACUGUUGCUAUUGGGAUUGAUCGUGGAUCGGAAGAGACACG